rnacentral:snoRNA from 1 species
UAAAAUGACGAGAAAAAAGCUGUGCACCAGUCCGAACUGGAACUAAGUACUCUCCAGGAAUGAGGCAUUAAGUAUACCCAAAUUUCUGAUC